rnacentral:rRNA from 1 species
UACGUAGGGCGCAAGCGUUGUCCGGAUUUAUUGGGCGUAAAGAGCUCGUAGGCGGCACAGUAAGUCAGAAGUAAAAACGCAGGGCUCAACCCUGCGUCGCUAUUGAUACUGCUGAGCUUGAGUAUGGCAGGGGAAGACGGAAUUCCACGUGUAGCGGUGAAAUGCGCAGAUAUGUGGAGGAACACCAAUGGCGAAGGCAGUCUUCUGGGCCAUCACUGACGCUGAGGAGCGAAAGCGUGGGGAGCGAACA